GCCAGUGACAACACUUUGCUGUCAUCCCAACGUGUCCUAACCAUAUGGACUUGUCACAACAGGAAAAACACAAUUAGACUUAACUGCAAUGACAGGUCAGUUGCAUUAAAUGUAACAGUGACAGUGAACCAGCUCACACAGUGGCAGGACCUCCUCUAAGUGGAAUGAAUCAUUAAUACACCUGUGAGCUUCCUCCUAUGACAAGUCAAAACAUCUGCUAUGUAACCAGUGCAUUCCUUAUGGCUUCAGAAGCACAAGACUCUGCUUGUUCCUGGCAGAAAGUACAAUUUUGAGGCUGACAGACAGAGGGAGGAGUCUUGUGACCAAGGAAACGAAUGACUGGAAGUCUUUACCUCAGUGCUCUGCUGGCUGGAACCGGUUUGGAAAAGUAAAAUAGGAACAAGAAAGUUAAAUAAGGAACUAAUGAUUAGAUAGGAUUUGCUGAGUACUGUAAUAACAUCAAGCACAUGAAUGGUAUUUUUCUUUUCAAAUGUUCCUUUCAAACAUUUCUCACACUCUUUAAUUGGUUAACCCUUUUCAUACCUGCCAGUUCCUGCCACUUUUAUACACAAAAUUGCUAGACUGAUAUUGAGUUCAACAGCAAGUUAGACUUCCUUUUAGUUUGAAUAUCAGUGACAUGUUUCCUUGAUGAGCAUCGACAGCUUUUCUUUUCUUUUUGUUUGGGCCAAAAUAAAUGAUUACAUUUUGGCACAGCAUUUUUACAUGUUGGUAAAUGGGGCUCAUAACAGCAACGUUGGCUCUUUUCUAGCAACUUCUGCAACGCUCCCAUUUGAGACAAAAUGUCUACGGUCUAGUCAACAACAGUUAAGUGUUAACUAUGAAUGUGUGCCAUAUAUGGCAGGGAGUUUCGCUCAUUAUAAUGCUGACAAAUGCUGAUUGUUAAGAAAUAAAAUGACGUGAGUUUUGCAA